rnacentral:lncRNA from 1 species
CAGGUUCUGGAGAAAAUUUCAGGGAAUCCAGGGACUGCCCGUAGGCGCAGUGAGAACCCAAUUUUAGACUCCGAAACAAGUAAGGAUCUCUCAUCCUAUUUUCUAUCACGACAUUAAAGCCUAAUAAAUGAUAAAACGGUAUUUUAUGAAUUAAUAGAUAUGUGUAAUUGAUUAAGGUUGCUAAUGGAGCCCGAAUCUGAUAUAUUUUCGGUCAGGUGUUGUUUGAUUUAUUUUGCAGUUUUGAAUGCAGUAUGGUGCCUGAUGUGUUUAUUCUAUAGUUUCGUAUGCAUAAAUCUCGGUUUCAUUUAUUAUGCUUUGAAUUAUUGUGAACCUGAUAUUGUGUUGCCUUGUUUGAUAUCUAUUACUGGUUUACGUGUUGUAUUUGAUAGGAUAAUUGAGAUUAAGAAAAAUGAAAAAAGGUAUGUGACUUGAUAAUGGAUAAUGUCGACAGCCUGACUAGAUAU